AGAGCCCUGCGGUGUUCGUUAUGCCAAGGCUGAUUUUGGACCAACACGUUAAUGUUAGGGAGCUUCGUGACGACGGGGCGCGCCAUGCCCGCCUUGCGCGGGAAGGCGUCAAGCCGUCGCACUGCACCCACUUGCCUAUCGGGCUCAAAUACGCCUGGCAGACGGCACAUGCGGGGCCUUU
rnacentral:other from 1 species